GACGAACGCUGGCGGCGUGCUUAACACAUGCAAGUCGAACGGAAAGCCCCUUUCGGGGGGACUCGAGUGGCGAGCGGGUGAGUAACACGUGGGUGAUCUGCCCUGCACCUUGGGAUAAGCCUGGGAAACUGGGUCUAAUACCGGAUAGGACUACGCACUGCAUGGUGUGUGGUGGAAAGCUUUUGCGGUGUGGGAUGGGCCCGCGGCCUAUCAGCUUGUUGGUGGGGUGAUGGCCUACCAAGGCGACGACGGGUAGCCGGCUUGGGAGGGGGGACGGCCACACGGGGACUGAGGUACGGCCCAGACUCCUACGGGAGGCAGCAGUGGAGAAUAUUGCACAAUGGGCGCAAGCCUGAUGCAGCGACGCCGCGUGAGGGAUGACGGCCUUCGGGUUGUAAACCUCUUUCAGCGUCGACGAAGCGCAAGUGACGGUAGAUGCAGAAGAAGCACCGGCCAACUACGUGCCAGCCGCCGCAGUAACAC
rnacentral:rRNA from 1 species